GCAAGACCAAAGUGGGGGACCUUCGGGCCUCAUGCCAUCAGAUGUGCCCAGAUGGGAUUAGCUAGUAGGUGGGGUAACGGCUCACCUAGGCGACGAUCCCUAGCUGGUCUGAGAGGAUGACCAGCCACACUGGAACUGAGACACGGUCCAGACUCCUACGGGAGGCAGCAGUGGGGAAUAUUGCACAAUGGGCGCAAGCCUGAUGCAGCCAUGCCGCGUGUGUGAAGAAGGCCUUCGGGUUGUAAAGCACUUUCAGCGGGGAGGAAGGCGUUAAGGUUAAUAACCUUGUCGAUUGACGUUACCCGCAGAAGAAGCACCGGCUAACUCCGUGCCAGCAGCCGCGGUAAUACGGAGGGUGCAAGCGUUAAUCGGAAUUACUGGGCGUAAAGCGCACGCAGGCGGUCUGUCAAGUCGGAUGUGAAAUCCCCGGGCUCAACCUGGGAACUGCAUUCGAAACUGGCAGGCUAGAGUCUUGUAGAGGGGGGUAGAAUUCCAGGUGUAGCGGUGAAAUGCGUAGAGAUCUGGAGGAAUACCGGUGGCGAAGGCGGCCCCCUGGACAAAGAC
rnacentral:rRNA from 1 species